CCAAUCCGACCGGGAGAGAGCCGCCGUUGCUUAGGCGGCCGCCGAAGGCGCAAUACCCAGAAACUCUCAGGCAAAAGGACCGGUCGGGCGGA
rnacentral:ncRNA from 2 species